rnacentral:rRNA from 1 species
UGGGGAAUAUUGGACAAUGGGCGAAAGCCUGAUCCAGCCAUGCCGCGUGUGUGAAGAAGGUCUUCGGAUUGUAAAGCACUUUAAGUUGGGAGGAAGGGCAGUAAGCGAAUACCUUGCUGUUUUGACGUUACCGACAGAAUAAGCACCGGCUAACUCUGUGCCAGCAGCCGCGGUAAUACAGAGGGUGCAAGCGUUAAUCGGAAUUACUGGGCGUAAAGCGCGCGUAGGUGGUUCGUUAAGUUGAAUGUGAAAGCCCCGGGCUCAACCUGGGAACUGCAUCCAAAACUGGCGAGCUAGAGUAGGGCAGAGGGUGGUGGAAGUUCCUGUGUAGCGGUGAAAUGCGUAGAGAUCUGGAGGAAUACCGAUGGCGAAGGCAGCCAUCUGGCCUAACACGGACGCUGAGGUACGAAAGCAUGGGGAGCAAACAGG